AGUCCUGUUAAGGGCUAGACCUAAAACCUGCACCUGUCCAACAACUCACAAGUUCAACCCCUAUGUAAACGAAUGGAAAAUAAACAUAAUUCCUUGACAAAGGAGGAGCAUUCACACACAGAGGAGGGAGCAGUUGUUGGAGCCCAUCUUCAAAGACCACUGACCACACUCCGGUUCAGUUCAGACUUCUCACAAACACCCUUACAGGGUCCUGUGGACCACUAAUCCCAGGAUGCGAAUUAGAAAGGGAAGAGUGUUAGGGCUGGCUGUGUACGAAGCCUUCACAUGCUUCACACCCAAAAACUCAGGAUGAGGUUGAGCCCCUCUUCCUUGAGCUGCCACCCUGCCAGAUGUUGCUUCCAUUGCAACAUGAACAACACUAAUUGCAAAGAGUUUACUGGGAUAUUUUUUGAAAGAGGACCUAGUUUUCACUUUGAUUAAACUUCUUAUCCCAAACCACAGGUUUUCCCUUUAUCAAGAAGACCUGAAGCAAAGAGAGGGUGGUGAUCUGUCCAGGUAAGGAAGCUGCUCUUACCUUACAACUUUCGUGGUAUUGCUUGGCCCUUCUAGUCAUCAGAAACGCUCUUUGCUUAGGUUUCACCUUAACACCGUAGUCAAUCAACUGGAUGUUUUUGUUCAAAGUCUUCAUCCAGCUAACUUUGACCUCAAUAGAGAAACAUGGGAGAUGACUGGCUGAAUAGUUUAUUUUUCCCACAAAUGCUUUAGCAUUAUAUAGACAUGGAUGUAGUGUGUCCUCAGGCAUCAUAAGGAACUGACAAUUUUUGGUUUUGAAAAAUGAACUAAACUUGUCCCGAUAAUUUUGCCUGGCACUGCAACUCAAUGAAUAAUUCAGCUAAUUUACACCACAGUCAUUUGUACAUUAUGAGUGUACACGCUUUGAAAGUAUUUCUGUACCUUUGUCAUAUUGCCUAUUAAAUGUGUUCUGAAAAUAGAUACCAUGUGUGAAUGUAAGUCCUUGUUUAAAGAGUAUGUGAAUUGACACCGUGGGACCUCGUGAACAAU
rnacentral:lncRNA from 1 species